UCACACACGAGCAGCGCCGCAUCUCGUCUCGGGGACCUUCACCACCACCGCGCGUGAGCUUGCGGGCAGCGCGAGCUUGCGGGGAGCGCCAUCCAGCCUGCCGCAGCAGCCGUCGCGGCCUUUGCCCCUGCUGCAGCCAUCAUCCCCACUCCCGCCGGCCACGAGCUCGAACAGAAGCAUCCUCGAGCCACCACUUCGUCCAUCUGGAUCUGGAGGCACCACCUGUAGCGCCCUCUACUGAGCACGACGCCUUGCGACAACCAUCCGCAUCCAAGGUAGGGACGGACAACACGACGCCUUGCGACAACCAUCCGCAUCCACGUCUACCAGCAGUGCCGCGCGGAAAGGGCCCAGGAGGCCCAGGCUCUUCGUCGCCGCUGCCAUGGCUCCUCGCGGAUCCAGGAAUGUUUGCGAGGGAUCGAGAGCAGAAGGCUUUGCAAGCAUGUCAUCUUCAACUGGCAAUGAGAAUGUCUACUCGAACAGGUGAUAGGUUGGACAGUCUAGUGGAGUGUGGAGAAGAGUUUUGAUCUAAGUGCUGUUUCACAGG